GUGGGGAAUCUUAGACAAUGGGCGCAAGCCUGAUCUAGCCAUGCCGCGUGAGUGAUGAAGGCCCUAGGGUUGUAAAGCUCUUUCAGCUGGGAAGAUAAUGACGGUACCAGCAGAAGAAGCCCCGGCUAACUCCGUGCCAGCAGCCGCGGUAAUACGGAGGGGGCUAGCGUUGUUCGGAAUUACUGGGCGUAAAGCGCGCGUAGGCGGACUGAAAAGUUGGGGGUGAAAUCCUGGGGCUCAACCUCGGAACUGCCUUCAAAACUAUCAGUCUGGAGUUCGAGAGAGGUGAGUGGAAUUCCGAGUGUAGAGGUGAAAUUCGUAGAUAUUCGGAGGAACACCAGUGGCGAAGGCGGCUCACUGGCUCGAUACUGACGCUGAGGUGCGAAAGCGUGGGGAGCAAACAGGAUUAGAUACCCUUGUAGUCC
rnacentral:rRNA from 1 species